rnacentral:rRNA from 1 species
CGGAGGAUCCAAGCGUUAUCCGGAAUCAUUGGGUUUAAAGGGUCCGUAGGCGGUUUGGUAAGUCAGUGGUGAAAGCCCAUCGCUCAACGGUGGAACGGCCAUUGAUACUGCCAGACUUGAAUUACUGGGGAGUAACUAGAAUAUGUAGUGUAGCGGUGAAAUGCUUAGAGAUUACAUGGAAUACCAAUUGCGAAGGCAGGUUACUACCGGUGGAUUGACGCUGAUGGACGAAAGCGUGGGUAGCGAACAGGAUUAGAUACCCUGGUAGUCCACGCCGUAAACGAUGGAUACUAGCUGUUGGGAGCGAUCUCAGUGGCUAAGCGAAAGUGAUAAGUAUCCCACCUGGGGAGUACGUUCGCAAGAAUG